rnacentral:tRNA from 1 species
GCCUGAGUGGCUCAGUUGGUUAAGCAUCUGACUUCAGCUCAGGUCAUAAUCUUGAGAUUUGUGAGUUUGAGCCCUGCAUCAGGCU